GCCCGUAUAGCUCAGUGGUAGAGCGCAUCACUCGUAAGCUUUCCUUUCGGAAAGUGCAACUACGAUAUGAUGAGGUCCGCGGUUCAAUCCCGCGUGGGGGCA